rnacentral:rRNA from 1 species
UAAGGAAUAUUGGUCAAUGGACGCAAGUCUGAACCAGCCAUGCCGCGUGAAGGAUGAAGGUCCUCUGGAUUGUAAACUUCUUUUAUCUGGGACGAAAACGGGAUUUUUAUCUCAAUUGACGGUACCAGAGGAAUAAGCACCGGCUAACUCCGUGCCAGCAGCCGCGGUAAUACGGAGGGUGCGAGCGUUAUCCGGAUUUACUGGGUUUAAAGGGUGCGUAGGUGGGCUUAUAAGUCAGUGGUGAAAUCUCCGAGCUUAACUUGGAAACUGCCGUUGAUACUAUAGGUCUUGAAUUAUCUGGAGGUAAGCGGAAUAUGUCAUGUAGCGGUGAAAUGCAUAGAGAUGACAUAGAACACCAAUUGCGAAGGCAGCUUACUACAUAUAAAUUGACGCUGAGGCACGAAAGCGUGG